UAGAAUAUAGCCAAGUGGUAAGGCAUUGGUUUUUGAUACCUAUAUGCGUAGGUUCGAAUCCUACUAUUCUAA
rnacentral:tRNA from 1 species